AGUGAACGCUGGCGGUAGGCCUAACUCAUGCAAGUCGAACGGCAGCACAGGAGAGCUUGCUCUCUGGGUGGCGAGUGGCGGACGGGUGAGGAAUACAUCGGAAUCUACUCUGUCGUGGGGGAUAACGUAGGGAAACUUACGCUAAUACCGCAUACGACCUACGGGUGAAAGCAGGGGAUCUUCGGACCUUGCGCGAUUGAAUGAGCCGAUGUCGGAUUAGCUAGUUGGCGGGGUAAAGGCCCACCAAGGCGACGAUCCGUAGCUGGUCUGAGAGGAUGAUCAGCCACACUGGAACUGAGACACGGUGCAGACUCCUACGGGAGGCAGCAGUGGGGAAUAUUGGACAAUGGGCGCAAGCCUGAUCCAGCCAUACCGCGUGGGUGAAGAAGGCCUUCGGGUUGUAAAGCCCUUUUGUUGGGAAAGAAAUCCAGCUGGCUAAUACCCGGUUGGGAUGACGGUACCCAAAGAAUAAGCACCGGCUAACUUCGUGCCAGCAGCCGCGGUAA
rnacentral:rRNA from 1 species